CCAGAAAACUGGUUCUAGCCAGUUUUCGAGAUGGACCUGGAUUAUUAAUAUUCUUUUUUUUUAUUAUUUAAUUUAUAUAUAUAAAGACCUCGAAAAAUCAAAUUCAGGAUCGAUUUUUAUUUUUUUACUUGUUUCUGUCCGAUAUUGGAAAAAUAAAUUUUUUGAUUAACGAUUAAAAUAAAUUCUUGUAUUUUAAUUAUUCGACUACAAUUAAAUUAAAUUCGAGUUUCAUAAAUUACUCGUUACACGGACAGUAUCUACCCCAGCCCGACGGUGGGACCCGUCUGUCCAACUUCAACAGAUUCCAACAAAAUCAACAAGAAGCUUUGUCUUACAGCUGAUGGAAUGUUUUAUGAUGUGAUGUUCUAUGAUAUGAUUAUGAUUAUAAAAUUAAUAUAAUUCAUGGGAAAUAAAAAAUGAGGUCAAAGAUAUAUCGUAUUUUUAUAUGAAAAAGAAAUGAUGUUAAAGAUAUAUUGUAUUUUUAUAUGAAAAAGAAAUGAGGUAGGUCAAAGAUAUAUUGUAUUUUUAUAUAUGAAAAAGAGAUAAUGUGAAGGUUGUAAUUUAUUUUUAUUUGAAAAAGAAAAAAUUGUUUUUUAGUUAAUUUUUUUUUCGCGUAAAAAAGAGAAUUUUUUUAUGACGAAUUUUUUUUAUAUAAAAUAAUUUUGAUUAUAAAGA